CCAAAACAAUCUGCGAUAGUAUCUGGUCAGCCCGAUUUUAGUGCAAUUGAAAUCUCUCAAUCUCUCGAUCCUUUCCUUAAAAUCUAAAGAUGGUAGAAAUGCAGCUGAUUCAGCAUAAUGAGCUGGUGUACCUGGAGGAGGAGCUGGAGCAAUAUAUAGCAGCACAACCGGGCAGAGGCCUCUGAGUCUGAGAUUGGGAAAACCCGCUGGAUGAUGAGCCUUUUGUUUUAGAUUGAGGUAGGCUACUUUGAAUUCAAAUGCUGUAUUGGGAAAGUUGCCGAAAACAUGGCCAAACUACUUGAUGAAUAUUGUUAACAUAGCUAU